UAGGGAAUCUUCGGCAAUGGGGGUAACCCUGACCGAGCAACGCCGCGUGAGUGAAGAAGGUUUUCGGAUCGUAAAGCUCUGUUGUAAGUCAAGAACGGGUGUGAGAGUGGAAAGUUCACACUGUGACGGUAGCUUACCAGAAAGGGACGGCUAACUACGUGCCAGCAGCCGCGGUAAUACGUAGGUCCCGAGCGUUGUCCGGAUUUAUUGGGCGUAAAGCGAGCGCAGGCGGUUUGAUAAGUCUGAAGUUAAAGGCUGUGGCUCAACCAUAGUUCGCUUUGGAAACUGUCAAACUUGAGUGCAGAAGGGGAGAGUGGAAUUCCAUGUGUAGCGGUGAAAUGCGUAGAUAUAUGGAGGAACACCGGUGGCGAAAGCGGCUCUCUGGUCUGUAACUGACGCUGAGGCUCGAAAGCGUGGGGAGCGAACAGG
rnacentral:rRNA from 1 species